AUGGCCUUUGCCGCGCUCUUUGUUGACUCGCUCUACUGCCCGGAGGAGCACCACGACCUGUUCCAGGAGCCGGCCGAGGAGCAGUGGCCGGAUCAGCAGCCGCUGGUGGCUCUUGACGACGAGCUGCCGGCGCUGUUCGAGGUGUUCAGGGGCAAGGAGGAGGUGCUGCUGCGGGAGGGCGGCGACGGGUACGGCGGCGACGCGAGGAGGCAGGCGGCCGUGGGGUGGGCGACGCGCGCGGCGGCCAGGCUCGGCUUCUCCGCCCUCACGGCCGCGCUCGCCGCCGCGUACCUCGACCGCUGCUUCCUCAGCGGCGGCGCGCUGCGGCUCGGGGACCAGCCGUGGAUGGCGCGGCUCGCCGCCGUCGCCUGCGUGGCGCUCGCCGCUAAGGUGGAGGAGACGCGGGUGCCCGUGCUCCUCGACCUCCAGCUCUGCGCCGCCGAGAGCGCCGGCGACGCCGACGUGUUCGACGCCAAGACGGUGCGCCGGAUGGAGCUCCUCGUGCUCUCCGCGCUCGCCUGGCGGAUGCACCCCGUCACGCCAUUCUCCUUCCUCCACCCCGUGCUCGCCGCCGCGCGCCUGCGCCAGUGCGAGAGCGUCCUGCUCGCGGUAAUGCCAGACUGGAGCUGGCCACGGUACCGCCCGUCGGCGUGGGCUGCGGCGGCAUUGCUCGCGACGGCCGGCUACGGCAGUGGCGACGGCGACGCCGAGCUCUUGGCGCUCAUCAACGCCCCCGAGGACGAGGUGGCGGAGUGCGUCAAGAUCCUCUCCGGGGAGGCGGCGGCGGGAUUCAUGGGCUUCGGCGGCGACAAUAAGCGCAAGCGCGCGGCAGCGGGGCUGCACUCGCCGCCGCUGAGCCCGAGCGGCGUGAUCGGCGCGGCGGCAUACUUCAGCUGCGAGAGCUCGUCCAGCAGCGCGGACUCACGCUCCGGCGCCGCCACCGCCUGGCCGGGGUCAGUCUCCGUGUCGUCCUCCCCGGAGCCCGCCGGCCGGCCGCUCAAGCGCGCCACCGCCACGGCGAUGAUGCUUCCACCCGACGAGGAGAGCCGCGACGCCUGGCGUUAG
rnacentral:rRNA from 1 species